UACGGAGGGGGCUAGCGUUGUUCGGAAUUACUGGGCGUAAAGCGCACGUAGGCGGCUUUGCAAGUUAGAGGUGAAAGCCCGGGGCUCAACUCCGGAAUUGCCUUUGAAACUGCAUCGCUAGAAUUGUGGAGAGGUAAGUGGAAUUCCGAGUGUAGAGGUGAAAUUCGUAGAUAUUCGGAAGAACACCAGUGGCGAAGGCGACUUACUGGACACAUAUUGACGCUGAGGUGCGAAAGCGUGGGGAGCAAACAGG
rnacentral:rRNA from 1 species